rnacentral:sRNA from 1 species
ACCCUUUUGUUAGUUGUCUGCAAUCAGUGAUGAAAUUAUGUCAAAUUCAAUGAUUAUACAAUGAUUAUUAUAAUCACUAGAUCACCAUCUUUCGGCUGAGAUUGCUGUUUCUUCUUUUUUGGAAUUAUUGUUUGUGUUAUUGUUGACGAUUUGCCUAUGGUAUCUGAUGUCCAAAGUUUGAUAAUUGUGUUUGGACAUUUCGUUUUUCUUAGGCAGAAAGUGAUUUCAGGCUUUGCGACACUGUUAGCUUAUCACAUAAGCUACCUGUUACUUUUAAUACCUGGUUACAUCUAUAUAUCAAUCUUUGGUUUGGUUUGGGUUUUAACAUCAUUGCUCCUUUUGUUUUUCGUAUCAUCUUGUGUUUUUAUGUGGUCUUGUGCAGGAUUUGUUGGCUUGUUCUCUUGGUGUAGGAUUGGCUUCUAAUGCGGAUGAUAUGCUUACUACGAGCAACUUCAAUCGGUCUCAAGAAUCAAAAUUGUCUGUUGUUUAAUGUUGUAUUUGAUGGACGAAUCUAGUCUUCUAAGACUAUGUAAUGUAAUCUCUUAACCCAAUAAAGAAAAUUAUCAACUUAGCAAUAUUCAUUGUCUAACUUAUUUUCAUAAAAUGGCAAAGAUACUGAAGUUGAUUUCCAGAUGAUGAGACACUCUAAAAGAGAGACAAACAUGAUAUCUUGUAUUUCUGUAAUGAUCUGACUAAUCUAAUAAUACAGUAGAAUCAUUACAAACAAAGAAGAAAUGGCUUGAUUUU